UUUGAAAGAGAUAAAUUGAAUGUGUCUACACACAUGACAUUAGUAUAUGUGUAGUUCCUGCAAGUUUGCAACAAACAAUUGCCGCAAGCUUGCGGCAAAUCUAAUUUGCAUAAUUAUGUUUGCAGCAAGCUUGCCGCAAACUUCAUUUGCAUGGUAAAAUGGUUGCGGCAAUGUUUGCUGCAAACUUGCGGCAAAUGUUUGCCGCAGGGUUUAUUUUUCGGUAAGGG
rnacentral:lncRNA from 1 species